rnacentral:rRNA from 1 species
UUAGAUAAAGAACCAAUAUUUUUGGUGACUCAUAAUAACUUUACGGAUCACAUUAUGUGACAUAUCAUUCAAGUUUCUGACCUAUCAGCUUUAGACGGUAGGGUAUUGGCCUACCGUGGCUAUGACGGGUAACGGGGAAUUAGGGUUCGAUUCCGGAGAGGGAGCCUGAGAAACGGCUACCACAUCUAAGGAAGGCAGCAGGCGCGCAAAUUACCCAAUCCUAAUACAGGGAGGUAGUGACAAGAAAUAACAAUACAGAACCUUACGGUUUUGUAAUUGGAAUGAGUUAAGUAUAAACCCCUUAACAAGUAUCAAUUGGAGGGCAAGUCUGGUGCCAGCAGCCGCGGUAAUUCCAGCUCCAAUAGCGUAUAUUAAAGUUGUUGCAGUUAAAAAGCUCGUAGUUAAUCUUCUGUUAAUUUUUAUAUAUAAUAUUUCGAUAUUUAUAUAAUAUUAACAUAAUUCAUAUUACUUUUUAGUAUAUGAAACUUUACUUUGAGAAAAUUAGAGUGCUUAAAGCAGGCUAUUGCCUUGAAUACUCCAGCAUGGAAUAAUAUUAAGGAUUUUUAUUCUUCUUAUUGGUUCUAGAAUAAAAAUGAUGAUUAAUAGGAACAGUUGGGGGCAUUUGUAUUUAACAGUCAGAGGUGAAAUUCUUAGAUUUGUUAAAGACAAACUACUGCGAAAGCAUUUGCCAAGGAUGUUUUCAUUAAUCAAGAACGAAAGUUAGGGGAUCGAAGACGAUCAGAUACCGUCGUAGUCUUAACCAUAAACUAUGCCAACUAGAGAUUGGAGGUUGUUCCUUACU